UACGUAGGGGGGCGAGCGUUGUCCGGAUUUACUGGGCGUAAAGAGCGCGCAGGCGGUCGUUCAAGUCGAGUGUGAAAGCCCCCGGCUCAACUGGGGAGGGUCACUCGAUACUGAUCGACUCGAAGGCAGGAGAGGGAAGUGGAAUUCCCGGUGUAGUGGUGAAAUGCGUAGAUAUCGGGAGGAACACCAGUGGCGAAGGCGACUUCCUGGCCUGUUCUUGACGCUGAGGCGCGAAAGCUAGGGGAGCAAACGGG
rnacentral:rRNA from 1 species